rnacentral:tRNA from 1 species
GGGGCUGGGGCUCAGUGGUAGAGCGCUCGACUAGCAUGUGUGAGGUCCUGGGUCCGAUCCUCAGCACCCCA